CGUCUCUGGUCACAGAGCCCAAUUGAACUCAGAACCCGGGUCACCAGGCACCCACGUUCUGGAGACAGCGCCCGACUGGGCUCAUUCGUUGGGACACCUUUGCCUGACGAACAUGUUCUCCUGUUGUGUGCCUGUGUCCCGCGGCUGCCGGCUCAGGGGAGCCCGUGGCCGCGACGCUUCCCGACCCUGGAGACAGUGGGUCAGGUCGUGCACAGGACGCCUCAGGUCUCUAGCUCGCAGGGACCCAAAGAAAUCAACCGAUGAAAUCGGGAAACGAUUGGCGGAAUCCCGAUUCACCCGCCCUACAGAGUUGUGCAUGUGCCCUGUCGCCCAGGAGGGCCACCCUGGUCCCAGAGAGAGAGUGGCCACACAGAGUUCUUGUGAAGCAGAGCCUGGAAAUGACCUGGGAAGGCCUCCUUCACCGCCCCGGCCCCCCCACAGGGUCCUGGUUCACGGGUCCUGGGAUCAGGACCCAGAGCCCCCGGAGCCAGAGCCCGAGGAGUCCGGGGCAGGAGCAGAAGCCGGUGAGACCCCAGAGCCUGACCCAAGGGCAUCCGGGUCCUCGGCGUCUCUGCGGGCAGGGGUGGAGUCUGGAGCGACUCCUGCAGGGGCCGGAGAGCCAGCAGGUGACCUGGGACCUGUGCUGGGACAGCGGGCACCUGAACAGAGUCAGCUGGUUCCUGCUUCUGCUCCCGACACCGUUCCGGCCACCGCCCUUGUUCCCCUAUGGAUUCCGGCCACAAAUCAAGGGCUCAAAGGCCUUCGAGGGAUGUUUAUUGUAUUUCUAAUUGUUGCUCCAGACCCAGUCCCCGACCCCUCCACCAGAAUGACUCUUCCUCUUCUCCCUUAUCCUUUCUCUCCUCUACUUUUUAGCUGGUACAUUAUUUGUUCAUGGUAUGUUUAAA